ensembl:lncRNA
GGGCAGUGAGCAGUGGAACUGUGGUUAGCUGAAAUGAAUGAGAGAAACCAGCAGCAACCUUGGCCUCGGGGAAAGACAUCACUCUGCUUCUGGCUUUGCACAGCUUAUGUGUUUGUGUUUUUAAUGUGUGACUGAACCUGAAAGUUCAUCUCUAAUCUCGAUCCACAGGGAAAUGGCAGAAAUCCUAACCAGCCAAAUGAUCCAAAUUUAAAUUUCCUGUGGAGGAAAGCAUUUUCUACGAGUGAUGCUCAGAUGGUGCAUCUGGCGUCUCUUGCUUUGUGCUUUUGAAAUGCAAGAUCCAGGAGGAUGGUGAGAUGGACCACCUAGUGCAGGGAUGGUGAACCUUUUUGAGCUUUCAAUGAUAAUGAACAGCUGACUGUGGCAUGCGUGCCAUAGGCUUGCUAUCAAUGAACUAGCGAAUGCCACACAUUUCACCUCUUUGAGGUUUUCCACUAAAAACGCACCCAUCCACACCCCUCUCUUAUUCCCAAAGAUGACCACUCAGUACCUGAAAUCAUACAAACCAAAUGAGUCUAGUCCAGAGAUGGAAAACAGAGGUCCAGAGGGCUAACACCUGUCCAGGUUGGAUGCGUUGUGGUGUUGUAAAUCUUUCAAAUUAGUUGUUAAUAUAUUUUAAAGUAUUUCACUUCCUGAAACACAGAGACUCACAUGUAUUUCUGGCUGCCCUGGAAAGUUGGGCAACUUGGCACCACGAAGUCCAGAGUGCCUGGGUUUCAUGGUCUCAGGGCAGCAGCUGCCACUGUCGUGCCCUCUGUACAGACCAAGCCCUCUCCGAUGUCUUCCUUUAUUUAUUUUAAAUGCAUGGCUCCUGUCCACACAAUGGCCACUUCCUUCCAUUUAUAGAUAUGGGACUUGAACCAGCCAUGACUUCAUGAUGCUGACAGAUCACAAGAGGGAAAAAAAAGCUGCUUUCUACCAUUUGCACUGUUCUAAUCUUUGGUAUUGAAGAAAAUCUGCGAGGAGGACAAGGGAGAUAUAGUUACUCUCCAGCUCUUUGGGACAUCUGGCAAUGAGUCCAAACACAUGCAAAUAAAGAAUGAAGUUAUUUUCAUAAAAGGUGGAGCCAUGUACCCUUGUAAUUAUGCUCUCUGAUUUUAGAAGGAGGAGAAAGAUAAGAUUUAAGGAAUUAGGAAAAGGAAUGACCAGAAAACAAGGGCCGCAGUGUGGAAAACAUAAAGAAUUAUUUGAGUAAAUGACAACUCACAUUUUUUAAAAAGUAUGUAUCUCCUUGAAAAAUCCUCUGAACAUUUCUAAAUUUUGAAGCUUUCAUACAUACAUCUGAAAAAAGAGAAUAUUAGGCUUUUUAUUAGUGUGAAUUUACAA